rnacentral:rRNA from 1 species
UACAGAGGUCUCAAGCGUUGUUCGGAUUCAUUGGGCGUAAAGGGUGUGUAGGUGGCGCGCUAAGUCGGGUGUGAAAUUUCGGAGCUUAACUCCGAAACUGCAUUCGAUACUGCCGUGCUUGAGGACUGGAGAGGAGACUGGAAUUUACGGUGUAGCGGUGAAAUGCGUAGAUAUCGUAAGGAAGACCAGUGGCGAAGGCGGGUCUCUGGACAGUUCCUGACGCUCAGGCGCGAAAGCUAGGGGAGCAAACAGG